CUGGGGCACAGAGACAUGCACACAAGGGGAGGACCACAUGAGGAUGAAGGCAGAGCUGGAGUCACACUUCCACAAGCCACGGAAAGCUGAAGCAGGCUGGAAAAACAAGAGCUUAGCAAGAGACGUGGGAAACGAAUACAGGAACCAAGCUUCACACCGGAGAUAAAUUAAACUUAAGAUGGAAGGUGAAAGAUUAAAGUGACAGAAAACAGACCAAGAUGGCCUCCAUCUUUCCUCCCUCCCAUCCUCCGUGACUCCCUGAGGCUAACUCCCCCUACAAACUGCAAGCUGUGGGGCUCAGCCCUGGCAGUGAUGAUUCAACUAAGGAUUGAAAACAAAACUGAUGCAAUCCUCAGCAAAGGGGAGAAGAACUACAGUUCAAGGCUACCCCAGGCCAAAAAAUAAAAAUGUUAACAAGA